AUGUGGCUUAGUGGUAGAGUGCUUGCUUAGCAUGCAUGAGGUCCUGGGUUUGAUUCCUUGGUAACAUA
rnacentral:tRNA from 1 species